GAACACGUGUAAGGUUGGGACACGGUCUGUUAGUAAUCAUUCCUGCAUUUUGGGGCUGGUUUGCUCCCAUUGAGCCCCACCAAAGGCUUGUGAAUCCCAAUCUUCCUGCCUCAUGGUGGUGGCGAAUGCUUUUCUGUUUUCUGUGGCCACGGAGCAGAGCCCUCAGAAGGCAGCGACGUAUGUCUUCCUAUUCCUGUGGACGGCCUUGGUGUGGCAGCUUUCAACAGUUCUCACCUCGUGACGCACAGGAAUGACUACAGUUCAGCGGCACACCAAAAUUACACUUUUUGCUGAUCUGACCGAAAAAGAUGGUGGAGGAUGAGCGUGGGCUGUGGAAUCAAACAGAUCACCGAGUGUCCCCAG